UUCAGUGACAAUGCUUUUCAUGACAAAAAGAUGUUCUGUUGCAGAGUUUUAAUGGUUUCCCAUUCUAUUAUUGCAGGAUUUACUGUUCUUACUCAACACAUCCAAAACGGAAUUGUGAGCCGAAGCAGCCAUCCUAACAUAAGAAUUCUCUGCGAUGGCCUCUUCAUAACAAUACGUCGCCUCUUUCUCCAUUCCUUUGAGCAAGUAUCCCUUCAUCAAGCUUCCGUAGGCGAUCCCAUCUGAGACAAACCCUAGCUUCUCUUUUAAUUCCUUGUACAGAGCUAAAACUCCAUUCGGAUCCGACUUCCUCACGAGCCCCGACUUGAGAUGAUUAUAGACAAUUGAGUCUCGAGCGAAACCCUUCUCGAACAUCUCAGUUUUCAGUUCUACAGCUUGAUCAAUCUUGUUGUUAUCCACAAGUCCCUUGGCAAGAAUGCGAUAAGUAGUAGGAGAAGGAUUAAAAGGGGCAUCAUAGCAGUGCCCUCAGUUCUAUCUCUUGUCAGCGAAGAGCUAUCGAAAUUGCCCCAAGACUACUUGAAUCGGUUGUGAGUCUUGCGACAGACCAAGCCACAAAUUCGGAGCUUUCUCCAUGUUUCUGAGGAUGUAUUAAAGGAAGCCGAAGCAAUCGAUCCAAAAAUCGAGCAGAACGAGAAAUUGGGUCUGUUGGCAGGUGAAGUGGCUGGAGUUAAAGAUAAUGUAUGCACUGUUGACAUGCAAUUGAGGGGUGCUCCCGGAUUCAGAAAAACUUCACAGGAGAGGGACAUAUCAAGGGCAGCCUCUGCGAGUGCUCGGUCAGCCCUCUCUGCCAAGCUAUGAUUUUUCUCUCUUCUUGCUUUUUCCACUGAAAUCAUUUUUUUGUUUUUCUAGUUGUUUAUGAUUUCUCUUUGAUUGAUUCCUGUGAUAUGUGAGAGAUGACGUUGGCUUCGUUUAGGGAUUCAUGCAUGGUUAUUCUAACUGAA